GCAAAUCUCCUUGGGCUCCUUGGGCCCGUGGGACUGUAGGACGGACUUUGAAGACAUGUUCACCGAUGUGUUCACCGGUUUCACCGGUAGUAAUUGUUCAUCAAAUGGCAGGACUUCUUUCAGAAAAAGCGUCGCCAACCAACAAUCAGAAGAAUCUGCCCCUUGCAGAGAAAGCCAAGCCCCUGCACUCUUGGAUGUCCUGCAUUGUAGUAACGUGAAGACAGGGCAUCAUCAUGGUGAACAAUCUCUGCACGGGUAAAUGUCAAUAACAAGCAUGCACAAUGUGGUCAUCAAUGAUACCGCUGGCAAAAUGAUUUGACUUCAAGGCUCCUUCAAAGUUUUCCAGGAGGACAUGGGUCCUAAUAGGCUUUUGAUGGUGAGUGUCUUUUUUUCUUUUUCUUCAAAAUAAUUGUGGCGAUUUAUUAUGAUGAUAAACUAUUCCAUCCACCGGUAUGAACUACUGUGAUUAUACCCAUAUCAUGCAUCACCAUCUGAAUGUGAUCAGCUUAUACUGUUUUCUUGCUUCUGUAAUAUGCAGUUGAAGAAGGGUUGCUUUAUUCCAGCCUGGUGGUGUAAUCACAAAGAAAGGUCGUCUGCACAGGUAAAUGCCAAUAGCAAGUGUGGAUUAUGCUUUUAUCAGUAACACUGCUGGCAAAUUAAUUGGAUCUCAAGGCUCCUUUGAACCUUUCCUGCUUGCUGGAAGAUGACCACAUGAGACCUGAUGGUCUUUUGAUGGCGAGUUUUUUUGGGUUGGGAGGGGGGGGGUUCUGAACUAUUGGCACCAAUUUAAUAUGAUGAUAAGCUAUCCCAUCCACCGGUAUGAACUAUUGUGAUUAUACCCGUAUCAUGCACAGGGUGUCUAGCGACCGGGAACACCGGGAAAUGUCAGGGAAAUUUUGAUUACCGGGAAAAAUCUGGGAUAUUGUCAAAAAGCGAGCCCAGUCAGGGAAAAUGAGCCGGAAACGUCAUCGAGUAACGCCAUCGAGUACCUAAGCAAAGACUUUAGGACUUGGGGACAGCAAUAUAGGCAAGAAAUUUUGCUUGGAGCGGAGCGCGGGCUCUGCUUACCUGAUGGUAGAGUGUGCUACCCGAUGCAAAGGGAACAGCCGACAAAUCCAGUCCAAGCUUUGGAUUGGACUGGAUAGGACUGAGGGUGUGACACUAGGCUAGAUCCAGUUCGAGCUACUAGAUUUAGUUACAAAUUGGAAAGUCGCAGACCCCAAUCCAAUCCAAACCUCAAGACGAAAGUCUCCGAAAGUGUGCAUCUGGCGGCCAUGCUCCCAUUCGGUUAUUGACGUCUGUGGUCUAGUGUCGUGUUUUCAUCGCGUUUCCGGAAGUGCCCUCUUCACUGAUGAUGUUGGCGGCAAGAAAGUGCUCGUUUAAUCCGAAAUGGAUGAACCCAAAUAUUUCGGAAUAUGCAAGUUGAAUUAAGCCCGUGCAAAAUUAUCCUCAUAGUGCUCAAUGCCUUGUGUGGAAAUGGUCUUAUAUAUUUAACCGCCUCUACAGUGAUCAGGGAAUUUCACCUGAAAUUGUCAGGGAAAACCUGGAAAAGUCAGGGAAUUCCAAAAUAAUAGUUCCCUAUCCCUGCACAGCUUAUACUGUUUUCUUGCUUCUGUAAUGUGCAUUUGAAGAAGGGUUGCUUUUUUCCAGCCUGAUGGUGUAAUUGCAUAAAGAAAGGGCAUCAGCACGGUGAACCGUUUUUCCACAGAUAAAUGCCAAUAGCAAGUGUGCAUUAUGCUUUAGUCAGUGACACUACUGUCAAAAUGAUUGGACUUCAAGGCUCCUUUGAACUUUUCCAGCUUGAUGGAAGAUGGCCACAUGAAUCCUGAUGGGCUUUUGAUGCCUGAUGGUGUAAUUGCAUAAAGAAAGGGCAUCAGCACGGUGAACCGUUUUUGCACAGCUUGAUGGAAGAUGGCCACAUGAAUCCUGAUGGGCUUUUGAUGCCUGAUGGUGUAAUUGCAUAAAAAAGGGCAUCAGCACGGUGAACCGUUUUUGCACAGCUUGCUGGAAGAAGGCCACAUGAACCCUGAUGGGCUUUUGAUGCCUGGUGUAAUCGCAUAAAGAAAGGGGAUCACUAUGGUGAACAGUCUCUGCACAGCUUGAUGGAAGAUGGCCACAUGAACCCUGAUGGGCUUUUGAUGCCUGAUGGUGUAAUUGCAUAAAGAAAGGGCAUCAGCACGGUGAACCGUUUUUGCACAGCUUGCUGGAAGAUGGCCACAUGAAUCCUGAUGGGCUUUUGAUGCCUGGUGUAAUCGCAUAAAGAAAGGGGAUCACUAUGGUGAACAGUCUCUGCACAGCUUGAUGGAAGAUGGCCACAUGAACCCUGAUGGGCUUUUGAUGCCUGGUGUAAUCGCAUAAAGAAAGGGGACCACUAUGGUGAACAGUCUCUGCACAGCUUGAUGGAAGAUGGCCACAUGAACCCUGAUGGGCUUUUGAUGGCUCAUGUUUCUGUCAAAUGACGAGGGGUCGUCAACAUGUCUCCAUUUUCGUGCAGAGGUCAAUCUGUCUGAAAUGAUGAGAUGCUUAGAGGCAACAUUCAUCUUCCAAAAUGUGAAGUCAAUCGGAAAUGAAAACUGAAAUAACGACCUGCUCAGAGGCAACAUUCGUCUUCCAAAAUGCAAGGUUAAUCUGAGGAGAAAACUGAAAUGACGACAUGCUCAGAGGCGACAUUCAUCUUCCAAAAUGCAAGCUCAAUCUGUCCGAAAUGAUGACAUGCUCAGAGGCAACAUUCAUCUUUCAAAAUGCAAGCUCAAUCUGUCCGAAAUGAUGACAUGCUCAGAGGCGACAUUCAUCUUUCAAAAUGCAAGGUUAAUCUGAGGAGAAAACUGAAAUGGCGACAUGCUCAGAGGCGACAUUUCAUCUUCCAAAAUGCAAGCUCAAUCUGUCCGAAAUGAUGACAUGCUCAGAGGCGACAUUCAUCUUCCAAAAUGCAAGGUUAAUCUGAGGAGAAAACUGAAAUGACGACAUGCUCAGAGGCGACAUUCAUCUUCCAAAAUGCAAGCUCAAUCUGUCCGAAAUGAUGACAUGCUCAGAGGCAACAUUCAUCUUUCAAAAUGCAAGGUUAAUCUGAGGAGAAAACUGAAAUGGCGACAUGCUCAGAGGCGACAUUUCAUCUUCCAAAAUGCAAGCUCAAUCUGUCUGAAAUGAUGACAUGCUCAGAGGCGACAUUCAUCUUCCAAAAUGCAAGCUCAAUCUGUCCGAAAUGAUGACAUGCUCAGAGGCAACAUUCAUCUUUCAAAAUGCAAGCUCAAUCUGUCCGAAAUGAUGACAUGCUCAGAGGCGACAUUCAUCUUUCAAAAUGCAAGCUCGAUCUGUCCGAAAUGAUGACAUGCUCAGAGGCAACACUCAUCUUCCAGAAAGCAAGCUCAAUAUGUCUGAAAUGAUUACCUGCUUAGAGGCAACAUUCAUCUUCCAAAAAGCAAGUCAAUCUGAGGUGAAACCGGAAUAAUGACAUGAUUAAUAAAGGCAACAUUCAUGGUCCAAAAACCACUCAUGAAACAAGCAUUGAACUGAUUUAAAAGUUCAGUGAAAAUUCUUGAAGCAGUCCGGUGAAUGCCCUUCGUAUACCUUUUUGUAAACUGACGGCAAUCCGAUUCAACACCACGUAAAUAUGAUGCUGGCAUGAAACAACAAAAGAUACAAGACGAUAUGUGCACAUAAAGGCACCCAGACACAACAUUCUGCAUACCGAGAGAAGCAGUUCUGUAGGCUGAUGGUUGCUGGCAAAGCCAUUUGGAAUGCAGCUGGUGGUUAAACAUGAAACCCAAGACUGGGACGAGAAGGGACGGACAAACAGAGUCUCAACUCGAUCACCAGCUCGUUUGCACCCUAACCUUUUGUUCACUAAUUUGCAGCUGGUGGGUUGUGCAAUUGCUAGGCAUGAAUAUUAUGUUGACUAAUAAAGGGCUAGCAAAGGGAGAUGUGUUUCUGAA